rnacentral:rRNA from 1 species
UACGGAGGGUGCGAGCGUUGUCCGGAAUCACUGGGCGUAAAGGGCGCGUAGGCGGCGCGGAUAGUCGGCGGUGAAAGCCCGGAGCUCAACUCCGGGUCGGCCGUCGAUACUUCCGGGCUUGAGCACUGUAGAGGCAGAUGGAAUUCCGGGUGUAGCGGUGGAAUGCGUAGAGAUCCGGAAGAACACCGGUGGCGAAGGCGGUCUGCUGGGCAGUUGCUGACGUGAUGCGGCGCA